rnacentral:tRNA from 1 species
AGCAGCGUGGCUUAGUGGAAAGAGUGCUGGCUUUGGAGUCAGAGGUCAUGGGUUCAAAUCCCAGCUCGGCCA